GAUGAACGCUGGCGGCGUGCCUAAUACAUGCAAGUCGAGCGAACGGACGAGAAGCUUGCUUUUCUGAUGUUAGCGGCGGACGGGUGAGUAACACGUGGAUAACCUACCUAUAAGACUGGGAUAACUUCGGGAAACCGGAGCUAAUACCGGAUAAUAUUUUGAACCGCAUGGUUCAAAAGUGAAAGACGGUCUUGCUGUCACUUAUAGAUGGAUCCGCGCUGCAUUAGCUAGUUGGUAAGGUAACGGCUUACCAAGGCGACGAUGCAUAGCCGACCUGAGAGGAUGAUCAGCCACACUGGAACUGAGACACGGUCCAGACUCCUACGGGAGGCAGCAGUAGGGAAUCUUCCGCAAUGGGCGAAAGCCUGACGGAGCAACGCCGCGUGAGUGAUGAAGGUCUUCGGAUCGUAAAACUCUGUUAUUAGGGAAGAACAUAUGUGUAAGUAACUGUGCACAUCUUGACGGUACCUAAUCAGAAAGCCACGGCUAACUACGUG
rnacentral:rRNA from 1 species